ACGGACCACUGGUGUAUCAGCUGUCGACCAACGGCAUAGCUGAGUAGCCAAGUCUGGACGGGAUAAACGCUGAAGGCAUCUAAGCGUGAAGCCCCCCUCAAGAUGAGAUAUCCCAUUCCUUUAAGGAAAUAAGAUCCCUUAUAGACGAUAAGGUAGAUAGGUUCAAGGUGUAAGUGCGGUAACGCAUUCAGCUGAUGAAUACUAAUAGAUCGAAGGUUUAUUCUA
rnacentral:ncRNA from 1 species